AUGAAUUAAAUAUUUAGUAUAUUUCAUUUACAAUGAUAACGACUAUAUUCUAGAAUUCAUAAAGUAUUACUGUAAAUUAACUUAUUUAUAUUACAUACCUUUUGCAUAAUGGUUUAACAAAACAAUGAUUUAAAUUUUACCCGAAUUUAGAAGAUCUAAUUUUUUAAAAUAAAAUUAAUAAUGUUUCAAAAUUAUAAUUUAAUAAAAAUUAGGAGUGAAAGGCUUAUCAAUUCUAAAGAUAUCUGGAAUAAUUUAAAAUGUAUUAAGUACAAAAUAAAUUUUGAAUAAUAAAAUGUUAAUUUUUUUAUAAAGAAUUUAUGUUUAAAUUAAUAAGAAUUAAUCCUCAAUUAAAAUUUAUAAAAUUAAUUACUAUUUAAAUCUUAAAUUUAAAAUUAUAUUUAUAUUAAUUAAUAAAAAAAUUAUGUUAAAAUUAGUAUAAUAUUUUUAUUUGUAAAAGGAACUCGGCCUUCAUCUGUUUAUCAAAAACAUAGUCUUAUGAUAAUAUAAGGUAAAACCUGCCCACUGAUUUUAAAUGGCCGCAGUACUUUGACUGUGCUAAGGUAGCAUAAUAAAUUGACUCUUAAUUAGGGCCUUGAAUGAAAGGAUUAAUGAAUAACUUCUGUCUUUAAUAAAUAAAUUAAAAAUUACUUAAAAGGUGAAAAUUCCUUUAUUGAAUAAAAUAGACGAGAAGACCCUAGGAGUUUUUUUGUUGGGGCGACAAUAUAGCAUAACCUAUAUAUUUAUGUUAACGAAAUAUUUUAAUUAUAAUAUAACUACCCUAGGGAUAACAGCAUAAUUUAAAUUUAAGUUUAUGACCUCGAUGUUGGAUUAGGAACUUUUAAAGCUAACAGCGUUAA
rnacentral:rRNA from 1 species